UACAGAGGUCUCAAGCGUUGUUCGGAUUCAUUGGGCGUAAAGGGUGUGUAGGUGGCGCCGUAAGUCGGGUGUGAAAUCUCGGGGCUUAACUCCGAAACUGCAUUCGAUACUGCGGUGCUUGAGGACUGGAGAGGAGACUGGAAUUUACGGUGUAGCGGUGAAAUGCGUAGAUAUCGUAAGGAAGACCAGUGGCGAAGGCGGGUCUCUGGACAGUUCCUGACGCUGAGGCACGAAGGUCAGGGGAGCAAACGGG
rnacentral:rRNA from 1 species